AUUGAACGCUGGCGGCAGGCCUAACACAUGCAAGUCGAGCGGUAGCACAGAGAGCUUGCUCUCGGGUGACGAGCGGCGGACGGGUGAGUAAUGUCUGGGAAACUGCCUGAUGGAGGGGGAUAACUACUGGAAACGGUAGCUAAUACCGCAUAAUGUCGCAAGACCAAAGUGGGGGACCUUCGGGCCUCAUGCCAUCAGAUGUGCCCAGAUGGGAUUAGCUAGUAGGUGGGGUAAUGGCUCACCUAGGCGACGAUCCCUAGCUGGUCUGAGAGGAUGACCAGCCACACUGGAACUGAGACACGGUCCAGACUCCUACGGGAGGCAGCAGUGGGGAAUAUUGCACAAUGGGCGCAAGCCUGAUGCAGCCAUGCCGCGUGUGUGAAGAAGGCCUUCGGGUUGUAAAGCACUUUCAGCGGGGAGGAAGGCGAUAAGGUUAAUAACCUUGUCGAUUGACGUUACCCGCAGAAGAAGCACCGGCUAACUCCGUGCCAGCAGCCGCGGUAAUACGGAGGGUGCAAGCGUUAAUCGGAAUUACUGGGCGUAAAGCGCACGCAGGCGGUCUGUCAAGUCGGAUGUGAAAUCCCCGGGCUCAACCUGGGAACUGCAUUCGAAACUGGCAGGCUAGAGUCUUGUAGAGGGGGGUAGAAUUCCAGGUGUAGCGGUGAAAUGCGUAGAGAUCUGGAGGAAUACCGGUGGCGAAGGCGGCCCCCUGGACAAAGACUGACGCUCAGGUGCGAAAGCGUGGGGAGCAAACAGGAUUAGAUACCCUGGUAGUCCACGCCGUAAACGAUGUCGAUUUGGAGGUUGUGCCCUUGAGGCGUGGCUUCCGGAGCUAACGCGUUAAAUCGACCGCCUGGGGAGUACGGCCGCAAGGUUAAAACUCAAAUGAAUUGACGGGGGCCCGCACAAGCGGUGGAGCAUGUGGUUUAAUUCGAUGCAACGCGAAGAACCUUACCUGGUCUUGACAUCCACAGAACUUUCCAGAGAUGGAUUGGUGCCUUCGGGAACUGUGAGACAGGUGCUGCAUGGCUGUCGUCAGCUCGUGUUGUGAAAUGUUGGGUUAAGUCCCGCAACGAGCGCAACCCUUAUCCUUUGUUGCCAGCGGUCCGGCCGGGAACUCAAAGGAGACUGCCAGUGAUAAACUGGAGGAAGGUGGGGAUGACGUCAAGUCAUCAUGGCCCUUACGACCAGGGCUACACACGUGCUACAAUGGCAUAUACAAAGAGAAGCGACCUCGCGAGAGCAAGCGGACCUCAUAAAGUAUGUCGUAGUCCGGAUUGGAGUCUGCAACUCGACUCCAUGAAGUCGGAAUCGCUAGUAAUCGUAGAUCAGAAUGCUACGGUGAAUACGUUCCCGGGCCU
rnacentral:rRNA from 1 species